UACGUAGGGUGCAAGCGUUACUCGGAAUUACUGGGCGUAAAGCGUGCGUAGGCGGUGAGUUAAGUCUGAUGUGAAAUCCCCGGGCUCAACCUGGGAAUGGCAUUGGAUACUGGCUCGCUAGAGUGCGGUAGAGGGUGGUGGAAUUCCCGGUGUAGCAGUGAAAUGCGUAGAGAUCGGGAGGAACAUCUAUGGCGAAGGCGGCCCCCUGGACCAACACUGACACUGAGGCACGAAAGCGUGGGGAGCAAACAGG
rnacentral:rRNA from 1 species